rnacentral:rRNA from 1 species
CUAUGUGUUGUUGGGUAGGGGAGCGUUCUGUAAGCCUGUGAAGGUGUGUCGUGAGGCAUGCUGGAGGUAUCAGAAGUGCGAAUGCUGACAUAAGUAACGAUAAAGCGGGUGAAAAGCCCGCUCGCCGGAAGACCAAGGGUUCCUGUCCAACGUUAAUCGGGGCAGGGUGAGUCGACCCCUAAGGCGAGGCCGAAAGGCGUAGUCGAUGGGAAACGGGUUAAUAUUCCCGUACUUGGUGUUACUGCGAAGGGGGGACGGAGAAGGCUAUGUUGGCCGGGCGACGGUUGUCCCGGUUUAAGCGUGUAGGUGUGUGUUCCAGGUAAAUCCGGUUCACUUUAACACUGAGGCGUGACGACGAGGCACUACGGUGCUGAAGCAACAAAUGCCCUGCUUCCAGGAAAAGCCUCUAAGCAUCAGGUAACAUCAAAUCGUACCCCAAACCGACACAGGUGGUCAGGUAGAGAAUACCAAGGCGCUUGAGAGAACUCGGGUGAAGGAACUAGGCAAAAUGGUGCCGUAACUUCGGGAGAAGGCACGCUGACACGUAGGUGAAGUGAUUUACUCAUGGAGCUGAAGUCAGUCGAAGAUACCAGCUGGCUGCAACUGUUUAUUAAAAACACAGCACUGUGCAAACACGAAAGUGGACGUAUACGGUGUGACGCCUGCCCGGUGCCGGAAGGUUAAUUGAUGGGGUCAGCGCAAGCGAAGCUCCUGAUCGAAGCCCCGGUAAACGGCGGCCGUAACUAUAACGGUCCUAAGGUAGCGAAAUUCCUUGUCGGGUAAGUUCCGACCUGCACGAAUGGCGUAAUGAUGGCCAGGCUGUCUCCACCCGAGACUCAGUGAAAUUGAACUCGCUGUGAAGAUGCAGUGUACCCGCGGCAAGACGGAAAGACCCCGUGAACCUUUACUAUAGCUUGACACUGAACAUUGAGCCUUGAUGUGUAG